AUGGCGACCGCCAGGCAGCGGGAGGUGGCGCGGUGCCCUGUCCUGUCCAGCACCUGCCCCACGUUCCCUUCUGCCAGAAGACAGGGAGUCCGGGCUUCUCUUUUCCCCAAAGGACAAACUCGCUCGGGAAAGCCCCCACAGGCCAGCGGCCAGAAAGUCAGAUGUAAACGGGGAUGCGAGCCUGACAAGCGAGCGACAGGGGCAAUGGGAGGGGACCCCGACCCGAGUGGCGCCCCGGCACUCCGCGCCUGCUCCCGGCUGGGCAGCGGAGUCUGUGGCCCGAGGUGGGGGCAGCCAUGCGAGUGCGCGCUGAGCUUAGUUAACGGGGGUCUCGCGGUGGAAACAGGACCACGGGUCCUUGAUUUAAAUAAAAGAGAAGGGCGACCCACUCAGUCUCUCUUCUCGCCCCCCGACUUCAAGCCCUACUGGACUUGGCAAUCGUCCCUCCUCCCCGAUCCCAGACUCCGGGUUUUCUCCAUUCCCAAAUCGGCGGCCCCCAAGAGACAGACAGAGGAACCUGCCAAUGGCAGGACGCAAAGCGUCAACUUUGUGUUCGCCCGCCACUCUCAGCCAGUGUGCGCUCGUUUCUCCCGAGUCCCGCCUUCCGUGUCGGGCGCCCCCUUCUGGCAACACGAGGAUGAACACUAUCUGUCGCCAUCUUGUGUGUGGCACAGGUAUUUUUUUUCUCUCGAACGUCUUUGCACUCAAUUCGAUCUUUCCUGCCACAAAGCCGGUGUCUCAGUUCGACAGCCAAGUGAAAUGGCGAUAAGAAGAGGGUGGCCUACGGUUUUUGGAUCGUCCGAGUGGGUUGGGUCGCCACGUCACGCCACGCUCGCCGAGCCCAGCGCCAUCUUGAGUGUGGCGGCCGGAUGGUUCCCUUUUUCGGAUUCCGCGUGUUCCCUAAAUGGCGCCCAAAACUUCAAGGAGCCCCCAAGGACUAGCCCACCCGAUCUGAGGGACCAUUACUUCCCCUCGAAUAACCUAGCAAGGAAAUGUUCAAGUGCCCUUCACAGAGCUUUAAGUGGGGCGGGAGAGCGACAGACUCGAAGGCCGGGUCCUGGAAGCAUCUCAGUAGCUGUCGCGACGGCAGUGACCGCUCGGGGCAGGCGCAAACCAGAACCCCGAAGUGCGGGCACCCGCUGUGUGUUGCGACGCCCGUGGGCUGUUCAGCUCGACGACGGAGCCCAUGCCGGCCCUCGAGUCCCCUCGAUGCACGAAUACCCCCAAUGUGAAUGCUUGGCACGAAGCCCACUCGUCGGCUGGCUUUGGCGGCGGGCGCCUAGGCUGGGUAGUGGGCGAAGGGACCUCCCCAAAGACUCGGGGCACCCAGAACUGGACGCGGAUAGAGGACGUAGGGGGUGGCCCAGGUACGCGGGCCUCGGCCUCACGCCCUCAUCGCUCGUCGUGGGGCUUUCCACCGACUUGCGCUGGGAAAAUUCGUGGUGGAAUGUGCCAAGGCGCGGGGGUGGAGGAGUGAGCAUCCCCGGGCACUACGCAGGGUACCGCCCGGGGCGAGCACAGCCCAGCACCCGGCCUGCCCCUCCCCCUCGCUGGCAGCCGUCGUGUGGGCCAGCCGCCUCCUUCUGUUCCCUUCCCCCGUCCUUCCGAGCAAGCGCGGGGAGGGGUGAGGACGGAGUGGGGGGAAGGUGGGGGCUGGGCGGGCAGCUUUGCCGCGCUUUGGCUUUCUGCGUCAGCAGCACCGAGCAAAACAGCGGCGGGAGCGCGCGCCCUGAAUGCGAGCGCGCGCCCCUCCCCCAGCGGCGUCGGUGCCGCCGAGACCCGGCAAACUCAGACCCCGAAUGA
ensembl:lncRNA